rnacentral:rRNA from 1 species
UACGUAGGGGGCGAGCGUUGCCCGGAGUACUGGGCGUAAAGCGCACGCAGGCGGUCUGCUAAGUUUGGAGUGACAGUUGGUGGCUUAACUGCCAAAGUGCUUCGAAAACUGACAGACUUGAGGGCUUCAGAGGGACACGGAAUUCCGGGUGGAGUGGUGAAAUGCGUAGAGAUCCGGAGGAACACCAAAGGCGAAGGCAGUGUCCUGGGGAGUACCUGACGCUCAGGUGCGAAAGCCAGGGGAGGCGAACGGG